UACAGAGGUCCCAAGCGUUGUUCGGAUUCACUGGGCGUAAAGGGUGCGUAGGCGGUUGGGUAAGUCUGACGUGAAAUCUCCGAGCCUAACUCGGAAACUGCGUCGGAUACUAUUCAACUCGAGGAAUGGAGGGGAGACUGGAAUUCUCGGUGUAGCAGUGAAAUGCGUAGAUAUCGAGAGGAACACCAGUGGCGAAGGCGAGUCCCUGGACAACACCUGACACUGAGGCACGAAAGCUAGGGGAGCAAACAGG
rnacentral:rRNA from 1 species